UUGACCUCGGAUCAGGUAGGGAUACCCGCUGAACUUAAGCAUAUCAAUAAGCGGAGGAAAAGAAACCAACAGGGAUUGCCUCAGUAACGGCGAGUGAAGCGGCAAGAGCUCAAAUUUGAAAGCUGGCCCCUUCGGGGUCCGCGUUGUAAUUUGCAGAGGAUGCUUCGGGUGCAGCCCCCGUCUAAGUGCCCUGGAACGGGCCGUCAUAGAGGGUGAGAAUCCCGUCUGGGACGGGGUGUCUGCGUCCGUGUGAAGCUCCUUCGAAGAGUCGAGUUGUUUGGGAAUGCAGCUCUAAAUGGGUGGUAAAUUUCAUCUAAAGCUAAAUACUGGCCGGAGACCGAUAGCGCACAAGUAGAGUGAUCGAAAGAUGAAAAGCACUUUGAAAAGAGAGUUAAACAGCACGUGAAAUUGUUGAAAGGGAAGCGUUUGCGACCAGACUCGCUCGCGGGGUUCAGCCGGCAUUCGUGCCGGUGUACUUCCCCGUGGGCGGGCCAGCGUCGGUUUGGGCGGCCGGUCAAAGGCCCUCGGAAUGUAUCACCUCUCGGGGUUGUCUUAUAGCCGAGGGUGCAAUGCGGCCUGCCCGGACC
rnacentral:rRNA from 1 species